AUACUGAUGAAGAGUCCCAAACUAGGACGAAACGGUUUUCCAGUAC
rnacentral:hammerhead_ribozyme from 1 species